rnacentral:rRNA from 1 species
AAUUGUUCUGCCCAUUGAUUUUAAAAGGCUGCGGUAUUUUAACUGUACAAAGGUAGCAAAAUAAAUAGUUUUUUAAUUGAAAACUAGAAUGAAAGAGUUGAUAAGAUAUAAAUUGUCUCAAUAAUAUAAUUUAAAUUAAUAGUAAAAAUGCUAUUAUUUUAUUAUAAGACGAUAAGACCCUAAGAAUUUAAUAAUUUUUAUAGUAUUAAUAAAUUAAUUUUGUAUAAAUUAUUUUAUUGGGAGGAUAAUUAAAUUAAACUUUAAUAAAUAUAAACAUUUAUAAAUGAUUUUAAUGAUAAUUUUUAUAAUUAUAAGAAUAAAUUACCUUAGGGAUAACAGAGUAAUUAUUUUGGAGAGUUCAUAUUGAUAAAAUAGAUUACGACCUCGAUGUUGAAUUAAAAUAAAAAUUAAAUGGAGGGAUUUAAAAUUUUAGUCUGUUCGACUAUUAAAAUUUUAC